CUACAGGACAGGAUGACGGGACACCGACGGAUGUGGUGAGACGCUCGAGACCCUCAGGCAGAAAGGCAGGGGCUGUCCGUGGUCACAGGGGGAUGCUGCUGUUUGUUCCUUCUCUUCUUAAAGCCAGAUGCACACAGCGAUGGGACCAGACCACGGCACACUCCUGGCCUCUCUCCUCUUGAGAAGUCAGCUGGAGAAGGCCAGGACGGCAGUGACCGCUCCAUCAGGACGACGGGACACGGACAGCCUCGGUGAGUCGCUAGAGACUCUUGGGCAGAGAGGCAGGGGCUGCCCGUGGUCACAGGGGGAUGCUGCUCCGUUUGGUGCUUCUUCUCUUUCAGCCAGAAACACACAGCGAUGGGACCAGACCGUGGCACAAUCCUGGCCUCGCUGCGCUCGACCACUCAGCUGGAAGGAAGAGCUGCCAACGCUCUCCAGGAGAGGUAAGAUCGCCCCAACCCACACCCACCACGUUCUCACAGCAAACAGGACAGUGACACGCUCGGGACAGGAUGGAAGUGACCGCUCCAUCAGGACGACGGGACACGGACAGCCUCGGUGAGACGCUACAGACUCUUGGGCAGAGAGGCAGGGGCUGCCCGUGGUCACAGGGGGAUGCUGCUCCGUUUGGUGCUUCUUCUCUUUCAGCCAGAAACACACAGCGAUGGGACCAGACCACGGCACAAUCCUGGCCUCUCUCCCCUUGAGAACUCAGCAGAAGAAGAUGCCAACACUCUACAGGACAGGUAAGACCCAGAGUUGGACGGCCUUGGUGUGAGGCUGGGAGAGCCUCGUGCAGGGAGGAAGAGAUGGCUUCCAGUGCUGGCAGGGGAUGGCUGCUCGGUUUGUCGCCUCCUCUGUUACAGCUGGACACACUGACAGUGAUGGAAUGAAGCCACGGCACACUCCUGGCCUCUCUCCCCUUGAGAACUCAGCUGGAAAAGGUGUCAACGCUCUCCAGGACAGGUAAGAUCGCCCCAACCCACACCCACCACGGUCCACAGCAAGCAGAAAGGUGACACGAUCGGGCCAGGAUGGAAGUGACUGCUCCAUCAGGACAACAGGACACGGACAGCCUCGGUGAGUCGCUAGAGAUUCUUGGGCAGAGAGGCAGGGGCUGCCCGUGGUCACAGGGGGAUGCUGCUCCGUUUGGUGCUUCUUCUCUUUCAGCCAGAAACACACAGCGAUGGGACCAGACCACGGCACACUCCUGGCCUCUCUCCCCUUGAGAACUCAGCUGGAAGGAAGAGCUGCCAACGCUCUACAGGACAGAUAAGCGAUCCCCAACCCACACCCCACCACGGUCUCACAGCAUGCCAGAAGAUGACAUGGUUGGGCUAUGAUGGGCAUCUCCUGGCUGUCACGGAGAUGCGAGAUGGACGGCCUUGGAGCGAGGCUGGGAGAGCCGCACCCAGGGAUGCAGGGGCUGACCCUGGCAGCGGUCUGGGGCUACUCUUUUUGAUCAUUUUCCUUUCUCACCCCAUCACAAACCCCUCGAGCACACCAAGGUCUGCCACUGUCCUUUCCCUGCUCUGCCCAAUCCCCCCGUGGCCACUGACCUGAAGGCUGGUGCAGCUUUCUACAAGCACAGCCACCGGAGGAGCAGGAAGCACACAAGGACCCCGUCUCUACUCGGCCAUGGUCCUACAAGCACACCAACGGGCCCCACGGCUAUGGACAAAG